GCUUGUCUCAAAGAUUAAGCCAUGCAUGUCUAAGUAUAAACAAAUCUAUACUGUGAAACUGCGAAUGGCUCAUUAUAUCAGUUAUAGUUUCUUUGAUGGUUCUUACUACUUGGAUAACCGUAGUAAUUCUAGAGCUAAUACAUGCAUAAAACCCUAACUUCUGGAAAGGGUGUAUUUAUUAGAUGGAAACCAAUGCGGGGUAACCCGGAAUAUGGUGAUUCAUAAUAACUUUCGGAUCGAUUUAUCGAUGCAUCAUUCAAGUUUCUGCCCUAUCAGCUUUGGAUGGUAGGGUAUUGGCCUACCAUGGCUUUAACGGGUAACGGAGAAUUAGGGUUCGAUUCCGGAGAGGGAGCCUGAGAAACGGCUACCACAUCCAAGGAAGGCAGCAGG
rnacentral:rRNA from 1 species